UUUUGAAAGAUUUCUUCGGAAUGAAUUUGAUUUAGUUUAGUGGCGGACGGGUGAGUAACGCGUGAGUAACCUGCCUUCAAGAGGGGGAUAACAUUCUGAAAAGAAUGCUAAUACCGCAUGACAUAUCGGAACCACAUGGUUUUGAUAUCAAAGAUUUUAUCGCUUGAAGAUGGACUCGCGUCCGAUUAGUUAGUUGGUGAGGUAACGGCUCACCAAGACCGCGAUCGGUAGCCGGACUGAGAGGUUGAACGGCCACAUUGGGACUGAGACACGGCCCAGACUCCUACGGGAGGCAGCAGUGGGGGAUAUUGCGCAAUGGGGGCAACCCUGACGCAGCAACGCCGCGUGAAGGAUGAAGGUUUUCGGAUUGUAAACUUCUUUUAUUAAGGACGAAACUUGACGGUACUUAAUGAAUAAGCUCCGGCUAACUACGUGCCAGCAGCCGCGGUAAUACGUAGGGAGCAAGCGUUGUCCGGAUUUACUGGGUGUAAAGGGUGCGUAGGCGGCUUUGCAAGUCAGAUGUGAAAUCUAUGGGCUCAACCCAUAAACUGCAUUUGAAACUGUAGAGCUUGAGUGAAGUAGAGGCAGGCGGAAUUCCCCGUGUAGCGGUGAAAUGCGUAGAGAUGGGGAGGAACACCAGUGGCGAAGGCGGCCUGCUGGGCUUUAACUGACGCUGAGGCACGAAAGCGUGGGUAGCAAACAGGAUUAGAUACCCUGGUAGUCCACGCUGUAAACGAUGAUUACUAGGUGUGGGGGGUCUGACCCCUUCCGUGCCGGA
rnacentral:rRNA from 1 species